AUGGCUCAGAACGAACGUUAGCGGCGCGCUUAACACAUGCAAGUCGAGCGAGAAAGGGAGCAAUCCCCGGUACAGCGGCGCACGGGUGAGUAACACGUAGGUAAUCUGCCUCUGAGUGGGGGAUAACCUUCCGAAAGGAGGGCUAAUACCGCAUGAGACCACGCCUCCGAGAGGGGGAGGGGUCAAAGUCGGGUCUAUGAAUCUGACGCUUGGAGAUGAGCCUGCGGCCCAUCAGCUAGUUGGUAGGGUAAUGGCCUACCAAGGCUAAGACGGGUAGCUGGUCUGAGAGGAUGAUCAGCCACACUGGAACUGAGACACGGUCCAGACUCCUACGGGAGGCAGCAGUGGGGAAUCUUGCGCAAUGGGCGAAAGCCUGACGCAGCGACGCCGCGUGAGUGAUGAAGGCCUUCGGGUUGUAAAGCUCUGUGGAGAGGGAAGAAUAAGGGUGGGCUAAUACCUCACUUGAUGACGGUACCUCUUUAGCAAGCACCGGCUAACUCUGUGCCAGCAGCCGCGGUAAUACAGAGGGUGCAAACGUUGUUCGGAUUUACUGGGCGUAAA
rnacentral:rRNA from 1 species